AGUGAACGCUGGCGGUAGGCCUAACACAUGCAAGUCGAACGGCAGCACAGUAAGAGCUUGCUCUUACGGGUGGCGAGUGGCGGACGGGUGAGGAAUACAUCGGAAUCUACUUUUUCGUGGGGGAUAACGUAGGGAAACUUACGCUAAUACCGCAUACGACCUACGGGUGAAAGCAGGGGAUCUUCGGACCUUGCGCGAGUGAAUGAGCCGAUGUCGGAUUAGCUAGUUGGCGGGGUAAAGGCCCACCAAGGCGACGAUCCGUAGCUGGUCUGAGAGGAUGAUCAGCCACACUGGAACUGAGACACGGCCCAGACUCCUACGGGAGGCAGCAGUGGGGAAUAUUGGACAAUGGGCGCAAGCCUGAUCCAGCCAUACCGCGUGGGUGAAGAAGGCCUUCGGGUUGUAAAGCCCUUUUGUUGGGAAAGAAAAGCAGCAGGUUAAUACCCCGCUGUUCUGACGGUACCCAAAGAAUAAGCACCGGCUAACUUCGUG
rnacentral:rRNA from 1 species